rnacentral:rRNA from 1 species
UGCGUAGGCGGGUUUCUAAGUCAGAGGUGAAAGCCUGGAGCUCAACUCCAGAGCUGCCUUUGAUACUGGAAGUCUUGAGUAUGGCAGAGGUGAGUGGAACUGCGAGUGUAGAGGUGAAAUUCGUAGAUAUUCGCAAGAACACCAGUGGCGAAGGCGGCUCACUGGGCCAUUACUGACGCUGAGGCACGGAAAGCGUGGGGAGCAAACA